CACGUAGGGGGCGGGCGUGUCCGGAUUUAUUGGGCGUAAAGAGCUCGUAGGCGGCUCAGUUAGUCGGGUGUGAAACCCCCGGGCUCAACCCGGGGACGCCACCCGAUACUGCUGUGGCUAGAGUCCGGUAGGGGAGCGUGGAAUUCCUGGUGUAGCGGUGAAAUGCGCAGAUAUCAGGAGGAACACCAGCGGCGAAGGCGGCGCUCUGGGCCGGAACUGACGCUGAGGAGCGAAAGCGUGGGGAGCGAACAGG
rnacentral:rRNA from 1 species